rnacentral:rRNA from 1 species
GAUGAACGCUGGCGGCGUGCCUAAUACAUGCAAGUCGAGCGAACAGACGAGGAGCUUGCUCCUCUGACGUUAGCGGCGGACGGGUGAGUAACACGUGGAUAACCUACCUAUAAGACUUGGAUAACUUCGGGAAACCGGAGCUAAUACCGGAUAAUAUAUUGAACCGCAUGGUUCAAUAGUGAAAGACGGUUUUGCUGUCACUUAUAGAUGGAUCCGCGCCGCAUUAGCUAGUUGGUAAGGUAACGGCUUACCAAGGCAACGAUGCGUAGCCGACCUGAGAGGGUGAUCGGCCACACUGGAACUGGUACACGGUCCAAACGCCUACGGGAGGCAGCAGUAGGGAAUCUGCCGCAAAGGGCGAAAGCAUGACGGAGCAACGCCGCGUGAGUGAUGAAGGUCUUCGGAUCGUAAAACUCUGUUAUUAGGGAAGAACAAAUGUGUAAGUAACUAUGCACGUCUUGACGGUACCUAAGCAGAAAGCCACGGCUAACUACGUG